CGGCGUGGGUGAAGGAGGAGGUGAUGAACCAGGCCCGCCGGCUGGAGGAGGAGAUGUUGCAGGCGGCGAAGCUGUAGACGGGCCGGGUGAUCCCUCCGACGGAGGAGGCGCAGGUGGUGAGAUAGCAGUUGGUGAGCUAGCCGGGCUUGGGCUCAUUGAAGGAGUGGCCGCUGGUGGAGGUGACGAUACCGGCGAGGUAGUCGGGGAUGGCGAAAUUGAGGUAGUCGGGGAUGGCGAAAUUGAGGUAGUCGGGGAUGGCGAAAUUGAGGUCGGUGGGGUUGCUGGCGUGGCCACGCUUGGUGGUGGGGUUGCCAUAGUUGUUGGGGGAGUGGCGGUGGGGGGCGUUGCGGUGGAGGGGGGAGACGCUGGAGAGGUGGAGGGGGACUGAGCGAGGGAG
rnacentral:lncRNA from 1 species